rnacentral:tRNA from 2 species
GGAGAGGUGUCCGAGUGGCCGAAGGAGCAUGAUUGGAAAUCAUGUGUACGGGUUACCGUACCGCGGGUUCAAAUCCCGCCCUCUCCGCCA